rnacentral:misc_RNA from 1 species
AAGUCGUAACAAGGUUUCCGUAGGUGAACCUGCGGAAGGAUCAUUAGAGAAUGAAGUUUUUUGGGGUUUUAAAUUCCAAAAAAUAAUUCACCUUUUGUGCAUUGUUAUUAGAUAUACUUUGGUUAGAGCUUUGAUUUCAUUUAAUGGAAUCAACUUCUUGCUGACUCUAUCCUUUUUAAAGGACAGUUGGCUAUGAAGCGGCCUACCAAGGUUUUUUAUCAAACUCUUAUAUUUUGUCUGACCUAAAUAUCAAUAAUUAAAUCAUAACUUUCAACAACGGAUCUCUUGGCUCUC